rnacentral:misc_RNA from 1 species
GGAAUAAAAGUCGUAACAAGGUCUCCGUUGGUGAACCAGCGGAGGGAUCAUUACCGAGUUUACAACUCCCAAACCCCUAUGUGAACGUUACCAAACUGUUGCCUCGGCGGGAAAUUCAUGCCCCGGGCGCGUCGCAGCCCCGGACCAAGGCGCCCGCCGGAGGACCAACCAAAACUCUUUUGUAUGUCCCUCGCGGACUUUUAUAAUUCUGAACCAUCUCGGCGCCCCUAGCGGGCGUUUCGAAAAUGAAUCAAAACUUUCAACAACGGAUCUCUUGGUUCUG